rnacentral:piRNA from 1 species
UGGUCCAAGACUGAUCUGUGUGUCUAGGG